UUUCCCUACGGGGGGCAGCAGUAGGGAAUCUUCUACAAUGGGCGAAAGCCUGAUGGAGCAACGCCGCGUGAGGGAGGAAGUAUUUCGGUAUGUAAACCUCUGUUAUAAAGGAAGAACGGUGCAUGUAGGGAAUGACAUGCAAGUGACGGUACUUUAUGAAGAAGCCACGGCUAACUACGUGCCAGCAGCCGCGGUAAUACGUAGGUGGCGAGCGUUAUCCGGAAUUAUUGGGCGUAAAGAGGGAGCAGGCGGCAGCUAAGGUCUGCGGUGAAAGCCCGAAGCUAAACUUCGGUAAGCCGUGGAAA
rnacentral:rRNA from 1 species